rnacentral:rRNA from 1 species
AAGUCGUAACAAGGUUUCCGUAGGUGAACCUGCGGAAGGAUCAUUACAGAGUUCAUGCCCUCACGGGUAGAUCUCCCACCCUUGAAUACUAUACCUUAGUUGCUUUGGCAGGCCGUGGAAACACCACGGGCCCCGGCUUGUGCGUGCCUGCCAGAGGAAAUAAACUCUGUUUUUAGUGAAGAGGAAAUAAACUCUGUUUUUAGUGAUGUCUGAGUACUAUAUAAUAGUUAAAACUUUCAACAACGGAUCUCUUGGUUCUGGCAUCGAUGAAGAACGCAGCGAAAUGCGAUAAGUAAUGUGAAUUGCAGAAUUCAGUGAACCAUCGAAUCUUUGAACGCACAUUGCGCCCCGUGGUAUUCCGCGGGGCAUGCCUGUUCGAGCGUCAUUUCAACCAAUCAAGCCUCGGCUUGGUCUUGNNGUUUGCGGUCCCGCAUCUCCUAAACUCAGUGGCGGUGCGAUUGAGCUCUGAGCGUAGUAAAUUUUCUCGCUAUAGGGUCUUGGUCGNUACUUGCCAGCAACCCCCAAUUUUUAUUAGGUUGACCUCGGAUCAGGUAGGGAUACCCGCUGAACUUAAGCAUAUCAAUAAGCGGAGGAAAAGAAACCAACAGGGAUUACCUCAGUAACGGCGAGUGAAGCGGUAACAGCUCAAAUUUGAAAUCUCCCUUCCGGGCGAGUUGUAAUUUGUAGAAGAUGCUUUGGGUAUGGCCCCGGUCUAAGUCCGUUGGAACACGGCGUCACAGAGGGUGAGAAUCCCGUAUGUGACUGGGUGCUUUUGCCUAUGUAAAGCUCUUUCGACGAGUCGAGUUGUUUGGGAAUGCAGCUCAAAAUGGGUGGUAUAUUUCAUCUAAAGCUAAAUAUUGGCCAGAGACCGAUGGCGCACAAGUAGAGUGAUCGAAAGAUGAAAAGCACUUUGGAAAGAGAGUUAAAUAGUACGUGAAAUUGUUGAAAGGGAAGCGCUUGCAACCAGACUUGCAUGCUGUUGAUCAUCCAGGCUUCUGUUUGGUGCACUCGACUGCAUUCAGGCCAGCAUCGGUUUUGGUGGUUGGAUAAAGGCCUUGGGAAUGUAGCUUCUUUCGGGGAGUGUUAUAGCCCUCGGUGCAAUGCAGCCUACCGGGACCGAGGACCGCGCUUCGGCUAGGAUGCUGGCGUAAUGGUUGUAAGCGACC